rnacentral:lncRNA from 1 species
AUUUUGUUCAUGUUUUGAAGCCUCAUCGACUACAAUCGUAAGAACUUAUGGCUGACAAGACAGACAAACAACUUUGCCCCGAAGACGUCAAAUGUGAUUUCCGCAACACAUCUGGAUGUCUCGAAAAUUGAAGUCUUCACCCGUUAGAACACACGACGUUGGCAAGAACGUGUGUCCACCCUUUUGGACAAGUACGGAGUCAGAGACGCUUUUGCACUUACGACUUCUAAACCAGACUCAAGCACGGUUGCGAAACAAGUUAAUGAUUGAAUUCAUGCAAAUAAGGUAUGUUGUCACACCCUACUCAGUGUGUUAU